UUUCCAAUAUUCAAAGGCUUCUGUAAGUAAAUCUCUCAUUUGUUUUAGGGCAUAAAAACAGCCUAAGUUACAGACACUUUCACCUUGAGGGCUGCACAGACAAAACUGUUCUGGAGGUGGAGAGCUUUGCUUUUCAGCCAGGCAAUUUUUCUGUCUCUACCUGUAUAGAGGCUUCCUUCUACAGGCUCUAGAGAAGUCACCAGGAGCUUUCCUUGUUCAUGCUGUGGGAACAGAAGCUUUAAUCACAUUGCCCUUGGUUACACGGACAGGAAUGAGAGUAAACAAACACUACAUCAAUGAGCCAGUGACAGACUCCAUGGCAAGAAGUGAGGACGGAGAUCAUAUUUUACCUAAGACAAAUGGCUAAGUUGGUUACUUUAUGUAAGUCACCACCAGCUACAGGAUUACUUCAUGUAACUCACUGUCAGCUAUUGCCUCAUAAUACCUGACAAGGGAAUAUUAAAAUCAUCAGUGGGAGAAAAUACAGAAAGAAUCCAUCUGCAUUCAAUGAAUUUUAAUUAAAAUGUAAUUACCGUACUGUGAGAAAUCUGCCAGCCCUGGCCCCCUCCCCACACAUGUUACAGCAGUGGACUCUAGUAAACAAGCAGGAAGGUGAGCAGUGGUGCAUGUGCAUAUUUCCUUACAUUUUGCCGGUGACUUAGUUCUAAGCAGCGCCAGAUCAUGGGAAGUCUUCGGAAAUAGUUUUAUAUCAUUUUGCCAAGUAGCUCCCCAGAAGACGCUGUGGGGGCAGAGGUGCUACACAUCUUCUGUUAUAAUUGACCUGGGCUUUGAGAUUUCUCUGUCAUGAUGUAUCCCAGAAUGGUGCAUGACGGGAAGAAACUUGUUAUUCCUCCAGCAGUGCCAAAUGGACAAGAUCAAGUAGGCCUGGGACUUGAAAAAAAGGAAGAAAUAUUGACAGAUAAGUAACCACUCCAGUAAAUGACAGGCAGGCACAGGAAGCCUGAUUUCCUUGGGGUUCAGAGGUAA